UACGGAGGGAGCUAGCGUUGUUCGGAAUUACUGGGCGUAAAGCGCACGUAGGCGGCUUUGUAAGUUAGAGGUGAAAGCCCGGGGCUCAACCCCGGAAUUGCCUUUAAGACUGCAUCGCUUGAAUCCAGGAGAGGUGAGUGGAAUUCCGAGUGUAGAGGUGAAAUUCGUAGAUAUCAAGCGGAACACCGGUGGCGAAGGCGGCCUUCUGGACAGUGACUGACGCUGAGACGCGAAAGCGUGGGGAGCAAACAGG
rnacentral:rRNA from 1 species